rnacentral:lncRNA from 1 species
AUUGUCUCCAUCUCCCCAGCAGCUGUUAAAGUGAAGUCUGCAUAGUGGAGUGACUUAGCACAGUGCUUUCCAGACUCUCAUGCGUAGAGGAAUCACCUGGGGGCCUUGUUUUAUAACCAGAUUCUGAUUGUGUGAGUCUGGGGUUGGACCUGAGAUUCUGCAUCUCUAGCAAACUCCCAGGUAAUGUUGAUGCUGCUGGUUUGAGGACCACACUUUGAGUAGCAAGGCUUAGAGCACCCACUUUGGCAUUGACCAGGCUAUUUUGAGUCCUGACUGCACCACUUCAAUAGCUGUGUGACCUUAGGAAGGUGACUUUGGCAGCAGUGUGGAAUGGUGGAAUGGUGGAAUGGUGGAAUGGAAGAUGAAAGACCAGAGUCCGGAAGAUCAGCUAAAAGCAAGAGGACUUUGAUGCCCUUGUGGAUGGAGG